AGCGAACGCUGGCGGCAGGCCUAACACAUGCGAGUCGAACGGACCCUUCGGAGUUAGUGGCGGACGGGUGAGUAACACGUGGGAACGUGCCUUUAGGUUCGGAAUAAGCUCGGGAAACUGGGUCUAAUACCGAAUGUGCCCUUCGGGGGAAAGAUUUAUCGCCUUUAGAGCGGCCCGCGUCUGAUUAGCUAGUUGGUGAGGUAAAGGCUCACCAAGGCGACGAUCAGUAGCUGGUCUGAGAGGAUGAUCAGCCACACUGGGACUGAGACACGGCCCAGACUCCUACGGGAGGCAGCAGUGGGGAAUCUUGCGCAAUGGGCGAAAGCCUGACGCAGCCAUGCCGCGUGAAUGAUGAAGGUCUUAGGAUUGUAAAAUUCUUUCACCGGGGACGAUAAUGACGGUACCCGGAGAAGAAGCCCCGGCUAACUUCGUGCCAGCAGCCGCAGUAA
rnacentral:rRNA from 1 species